rnacentral:rRNA from 1 species
UUCCGCAAUGGGCGCAAGCCUGACGGAGCAAGACCGCGUGGGGGAGGAAAGCCUUUGGGUUGUAAACCCCUUUUCUCAGGGAAGAAGAAAGUGACGGUACCUGAGGAAUCAGCCUCGGCUAACUCCGUGCCAGCAGCCGCGGUAAUACGGAGGAGGCAAGCGUUAUCCGGAAUGAUUGGGCGUAAAGCGUUCGUAGGUGGCAAUUCAAGUCUGCUGUCAAAGACAGUAGCUCAACUACUGCAAGGCAGUGGAAACUGAAUAGCUAGAGUGCGGUAGGGGCAGAGGGAAUUCCCGGUGUAGCGGUGAAAUGCGUAGAGAUCGGGAAGAACACCGGUGGCGAAAGCGCUCUGCUGGGCCGCAACUGACACUGAGGGACGAAAGCUAGGGGAGCGAAUGGGAUUAGAUACCCCAGUAGUC